CUUGUGGCAAGCUGUGGCUCUCAUCCACCUCAAACCAUUGCAAUACCCAAGAGAAAGCAAUGCUCAGCACAUGCUUGCUGAAUAAAUCAAUAAAUAGACCCACAACAUGGCAAAAACUGAAGUAAUAUUUAUCUUCUCAGGCAGCUUCACCUCCGAAGCCCCAAACUCAGCCCUGCAUCUGCGCAUGGCCGGCAGCAGUGUUGAAGAGGCAGGCCCUCCAGUUUGUCCUCU